rnacentral:rRNA from 1 species
UACAGAGGCCUCGAGCGUUGUUCGGAUUCAUUGGGCGUAAAGGGUGCGUAGGCGGCGCGGUAAGUCGGGUGUGAAAUCUUGGAGCUUAACUCCGAAACUGCAUUCGAUACUGCCGUGCUUGAGGACUGGAGAGGAGACUGGAAUUUACGGUGUAGCGGUGAAAUGCGUAGAUAUCGUAAGGAAGACCAGUGGCGAAGGCGGGUCUCUGGACAGUUCCUGACGCUGAGGCACGAAGGCCAGGGGAGCAAACGGG